rnacentral:rRNA from 1 species
AUACGGAGGGGGCUAGCGUUGUUCGGAAUUACUGGGCGUAAAGCGCGCGUAGGCGGACCAGUCAGUCAGGGGUGAAAUCCCGGGGCUCAACCCCGGAACUGCCUUUGAUACUGCUGGUCUUGAGUUCGAGAGAGGUGAGUGGAAUUCCGAGUGUAGAGGUGAAAUUCGUAGAUAUUCGGAGGAAUACCAGUGGCGAAGGCGGCACACUGGCUCGAUACUGACGCUGAGGUGCGAAAGCGUGGGGAGCAAACAGGAUUAGAAACCCUAGUAGUCC